rnacentral:snRNA from 1 species
GUGUUCGCUUUGGCAGCACAUAUACUAAAAUUGGAAUGAUACAGAGAAGAUUAGCAUGGCCCUGCUCAAGGAUGAUGCACAAAUUUGUGAAGCGUUUCAUUAAAAA